AUGUUGGCUGUUCUACAGAUGAUCUCAGUGUGCAUCACAGCCUGCCUCUCCUACUCCACAGGACCGCACAUCACUGUGGGAAUGCACACGAAGGCAAGAUGGACUUCUGCUCGCUGUGGUGAUGCUACAGUACCACAGACACUGUCUAGUCUCACUCGGCACCUGCUCUGCCUUCGUGUACGAUCCAGCCAGGAAAAUGAAAGUCCAUGUCUCCUUAACCCCCUUGAAGAGUUCCACGUGUUCUCUAGUCCUGCCAAGCAGCUGGCCUUCCUUCAGACCUGGACAUGGAUAUGCCUGGGAGGGUGGAUGUCUGGAUACCAUGGGGGCCAUGAGUAUCCUGGGUUCUCUGGUUUGGCCCAAUCUCAUCACAUGAGUCCUUAAAAUCGGAAUGACUUUCCCAACAUGAGCCAGAAGAAGGAGAGAUUUGAAACGUAAGAAGGACUCAACCUGCCACUACUGGCUUCAGAGAUGAGGGAAGAAGCCACGAGCUAAGGAAGGCAGGGGCCUCUAGAAGCUGAAGAGCAAGAAGACAGAUUCCACUUGAGUCUCCAGCAAGGAAACUGGCCUUACCAACAGCUCGAUUUUAACCCGGUGAGACUCAUGUUGGGCUUCUGAUCUCUAGAACGUAAGAUCAUAAAUUUGGGUGUUUAGGCCACUAAAUGUGUGAUCCUUUGUUAGGGCACCAGUAGAAAUCUAGCAUGUCUGUGUUGGAGCCCUAGCAUUCCAUUUGAGGAGUCACUGGUGCCAGGUGUCUGACUGGGGUGUCAGAGGGCUUUUCUUGGGACCGUUUGGUGGUGGGUUGGACUUUUCUACUAGACAGGCUACAUAAUUUGUGGGGCCCAGUGCAAAAUGGAAAUGUGGAGCCCUUGUUCAAAAUGUCAGAAAAUAGUGCCAUUUAUGGUAUUAAAAUAUAAAGCUUUUUCCUUUUUUUCUGCUGUCUGUCUCUCUCUCAACUCGCCCUGACUUUUUUUUAUUUGCUAUUUAAUAUCUUUCUAAGCAAAGAAAAAUUAAAAUGUUAAAAUAUUAGCAUGAAUGUUAUCCUUAUCUUUAUGUUGUAUGCCAGUUUUAAGUGUAAAUAUAAGAGAAUUUAACACAUGCAGAAUCACCCGAAUUACACAAUUUGUGUUUCAUGGCUCAUACAUGCAUGUGUAUUUUGUUUGUAUCGGAACAGUGGAAACGCUGCACAAAACUAACUCAACUGUUUUUCAUGCAUUUCUUGAUAUGGGCACUUUCCACCUUCAGCUACUGAUGAGUGAUGAAGGACUGAAAGGAAAAAAGUUGCCCUAUCUUUCCCUUCCUUCCAUGUCAUCAGUUUUCACUGUAAGCCAUUGGCUUUUAUAGGGAAGUCACACAUGAGAAAGGAUGUGAUAGGGUUCCUUAGUCGCUCGUGCCUUCAUUCUGUGUUGGAGUAAGUUCUGGUUGGGAUGGAAAGUGUGGCCUGGCUGUCAGCGCUUACUCAUCAUAGAUUUAACACUUACCUUGCACUGGCUUUCAGUCUCCCUGAAGCACCAGGCAUGAAUUCUGUGCUCACAAGGCACUGGGAAGGCUAUAUGUGAGUGAGGCAGCUAAGAACGGAGCGCGAGCAUGUCUUGCAUAUCUCCUCUGCAUGUGCACAUUCUCUCUGGACUUCACUCACAGAACACAAGUUCAAAGAUAAAAUCAUUAAAAUUUCAAGAUAGUGAGAGAAGGGCAUUGACCCAAGCACGGGGGUCCUUCUGAGUGGUGCCCUGUGUGACUGCAUGGGUCACAUGGCUCUGCUACUAGCUAUUUUUCUAGAUUACUUUUGGUUGUGUAGCAUCCAAACCUGUUUCUUUGCUCACUCAGAGGUUUUGAGAGUUAACUAAUGUCUUUUAAUAAGUUUCUUUCUGUUUAAAAUAGCUAGAGAGGAUUCUGUUGUUUGCCCUAAGAACCAUGGCCAAUUCAAUCAAGCUUAGGUUAACUUGUUAUGGGCUGAAUUGUGUCCCUUCAAAGAGAGAUGUUGAAGUCCUAACCCCCAGUACCUCAGAAAGUCACCUUAUUUAGAAAUAGAUCAUUAGGUUAGAUUCUAAUCCAAUAUAACUGGUGUCCUUAUAAUGAGGGAAAUUUAGAUGCAGAGACAGACAUGCACACAGGAAGGAUGCCAUGUGAAGAUGAAAGCAGAGAUUGGGGUGAUGCAACUACAAGUCAAGGAUUGUCAGCAAACCACCAGAAGCUAAGACAGGCAUGGAAGAGAUUCUCCCUUAUGCCCUCAGAAGCAAUCAACCCUACCAACACCUUGAUUUUGGACUUCUCCCUCCAGACCUGUGAGACAAGACAUUUCUGUUGUUUAAGCCCCCUAGGUUGUGGUACCUUGUUAUGGCAGCCCUAGGAAAUGAAUGUACACUUGAUGUUCUGUUAUGUUUGGGAAAUGGGGCGGUGCAAAACUCAGAGGGGAGUUCAGAUGCCCACUGUUUUAAGUACCAUGUAUCUGCAUGGGACAAGGUAGAGGCUAAAUAAAUAUUCUGAGCUGUGAAUAAAUGAUUGAAUG
rnacentral:lncRNA from 1 species